GCCUCCGUAGUCUAGAGGUAAGACCCUUCGUUAUCGUGACGCAUAAUCAUGAUCUCUUGCGAAGCGUCAAGGGUUUGAAUCCUCCGGAGGCA